rnacentral:rRNA from 1 species
GACGAACGCUGGCGGCGUGCCUAAUACAUGCAAGUCGAGCGAAUCACUGGGAGCUUGCUCCCGGUGGUUAGCGGCGGACGGGUGAGUAACACGUGGGCAACCUGCCUGUAAGACUGGGAUAACACCGGGAAACCGGUGCUAAUACCGGAUAAUCCUUUUCUGCUCAUGCAGGAAAGCUGAAAGUCGGUUUCGGCUGACACUUACAGAUGGGCCCGCGGCGCAUUAGCUAGUUGGUGAGGUAACGGCUCACCAAGGCGACGAUGCGUAGCCGACCUGAGAGGGUGAUCGGCCACACGGGGACGGAGACACGGCCCAGACUCCUACGGGAGGCAGCAGUAGGGAAUCGUCCACAAUGGACGAAAGUCUGAUGGAGCAACGCCGCGUGAGCGAUGAAGGCCUUCGGGUCGUAAAGCUCUGUUGUUAGGGAAGAACAAGUACCGGAGUAACUGCCGGUACCUUGACGGUACCUAACCAGAAAGCCACGGCUAACUACGUGCCAGCCGCCGCCGUAACAC